UCCUGGCUUUUAAAUUUUAAGUUACUAGUACAGUGGAGAAGAUCAAUGAGAAGUGUGCCCUUUUUUUUGACUAGAGUCGUACGUGUGGUCUAGGUUCCAGUGUCAUUUGGGAAGGUCUGGAAGGUUCUAGUGCAUCUUCCAGCCUGAAGCCCUGUGGGAUCACCUGUCGCCGAGGCGGGACGAGGACGAGGUAUUUAGGUGGUCAGCUAAGGGUGAGGUGCCGAGUGGAGCAAGAAACUUCCCAUCUACAGUGGUCAAAAACAGAAGUGUUGGCUUAAACGGAAAACCUGUCUGCUGAGGAUAUAAUCAGUUCCUUGAGAGAGGAUAUUUCUGACACAACUUAGCAUCUCUGACUGCCAGAAGAAUAGGGGCUUAGUUUCAGGAGCAGGGGGUAUUACUCUAAUUUUAUAGACAAGAAAACUGAAGCACAAACUACACAACUCCUGUAGGAGGUGCAGCUGGAACCGACUCCCCUUGGCUGAUUAACCAGGUUUGCUAAGCCCUACCCUAGUCUCCUGUAGUGCUUGUCUUCAGUGAACAGGUCAGGUGCUUUCUGGAGAGAGAUCUGGGACUUCAUGGACCUUACAGAGUAGGUUGUAUGUCUACCUGUUAAUAAGUACUUGACGGGGGCGCGUGGGUGGCUUAGUGGGUUAAAGCCUCUGCCUUCGGCUUAGGU